CUAUAACCCCGAUUGCAAUGAAAAUCCCACAAGAGCAGACAAAGUCGCGAUGAGGAAUUGUAAUGGAAAGCGGGAUUAACA
rnacentral:sRNA from 2 species